UGGGGAAUAUUGCACAAUGGAGGGAACUCUGAUGCAGCGACGCCGCGUGAGUGAUGAAGGAAUUCGUUUCGUAAAACUCUGUUCUAUGGGAAGAAAAGGACUGUACCAUAGGAGAAAGCUCCGGCUAAAUACGUGCCAGCAGCCGCGGUAAUACGUAUGGAGCGAGCGUUGUCCGGAAUUACUGGGCGUAAAGGGUGCGCAGGCGGCUUUACAAGUUGGAUGUGAAAUAUUGUGGCUCAACCACAAACGUGCAUCCAAAACUGCAAAGCUUGAGUUAAGGAGAGGUAAGUGGAAUUCCUGGUGUAGCGGUGGAAUGCGUAGAUAUCAGGAGGAAUACCGGUGGCGAAGGCGACUUACUGGACUUAAACUGACGCUCAGGCACGAAAGCGUGGGGAGCAAACAGG
rnacentral:rRNA from 1 species